rnacentral:rRNA from 1 species
AGUGGCGGACGGGUGAGUAAUGUCUGGGAAACUGCCCGAUGGAGGGGGAUAACUACUGGAAACGGUAGCUAAUACCGCAUAACGUCUACGGACCAAAGUGGGGGACCUUCGGGCCUCACACCAUCGGAUGUGCCCAGAUGGGAUUAGCUAGUAGGUGGGGUAAUGGCUCACCUAGGCGACGAUCCCUAGCUGGUCUGAGAGGAUGACCAGCCACACUGGAACUGAGACACGGUCCAGACUCCUACGGGAGGCAGCAGUGGGGAAUAUUGCACAAUGGGCGCAAGCCUGAUGCAGCCAUGCCGCGUGUAUGAAGAAGGCCUUCGGGUUGUAAAGUACUUUCAGUGGGGAGGAAGGCGAUGGAGUUAAUAGCUUCGUCGAUUGACGUUACCCGCAGAAGAAGCACCGGCUAACUCCGUGCCAGCAGCCGCGGUAAUACGGAGGGUGCAAGCGUUAAUCGGAAUUACUGGGCGUAAAGCGCACGCAGGCGGUCUGUCAAGUCGGAUGUGAAAUCCCCGGGCUCAACCUGGGAACUGC